GAACACCAUGGAACUGUGGUUCUGCAGGGUGCAUAGCAGUGAAAUUUGCCUCUGACGGAGGUCAAGUGAAAUCUGGUUGAGAGAAGCUCCUGUUCACCUUCAGAUACUCAAGACAUCUCAAGACCAGAAGUGGAACCUGUGAAAUGUGUGCAGUCCCAGCUCUGCCCCUCACCCGAGGCCCCCCUGGCCUAGAAUCGCAGGGCUCCUGGCACCCUCAUGACAGGAGCAAUUGUGGUGGACAGAGGCUGGAUGACUUAUCCAUGGCCAUCCUCCAGAGCAGGGAGGGCUCCUUGGAAGCAUAGAAGGGGCAUGUGGCCUGGCCCUCUCUACCCUACUGAACACCUACCUACUCUGCAGGGCCCAGCUCAGACAUUAUGAGAAAAGUUGAUCUACUCUAUUAGCCGAAUCAGCCCAGCAGGAAUUACCCGUGAUCCUCAGCAGCCACCCUGAGAUUUGAUCCAUCAAGAUGAAGCCUAUUUACUCACCCAUCUCUCAAUACUCUUCUGUUAAUUUUGUCCCAGGUUAUACAACUUGCUUUACACCUGGUUCUAAAGCUAAGAAGAUUGAAUGUGGAAAACUUUGUCUAAGAAAAGCAACCUAGAGCACCCACUUCCAUUUAGCUUUGGAAAAUCAUGCACAUCCCUGAAUUCUAAACAGAUGAAAGGCUUAACCAGCAGGUGGGUUUGGGGACCAAGCACAAAGACAAGGCCACAGGCUCUUCUGACUUCCAGACUUUCCCCCCAUUUUUUUUGGAGACUAAGUCUUGCUCUGUUGCCAGGCUGGAGUGUAGUGGCACCAUCUCUGCUCACUACAACCUCCGCCUCCUGGGUUCAAGUGAUUCACCUGUCUCAGCCUCCCGAGUAGCUGAGAUUACAGGUGCAUGCCACUAUGCCCAGUUAACUUUUUGUAUUUAGUAGAGGUGGGGUUUCACUGUGUUGGCCAGGAUAGUCUUGAUCUCUUGACCUCGUGAUCUGGCCGCCUCAGCCUCCCAAAGUGCUGGGAUUACAGGUGUGAGCCUCUGCGCCCGGCCCUUUAGUUUCCUUUUAGGCUCCUGUGUAUAUCUUUUGCCUAUAAAGGAAACAAAACUCAGAAGACUAAUUGGAACAUUUCCGAGUUUCCUUUGCAAAGUCUCCAAAACUUUCAGGCACUGCACUCCUACAUCCAGACAGCUUGUCAUCAGUGUUUCUGUUCAAUUUGGGAGCAAACAAUACCAAAACUCCAUUCUCCCAUGGCUCUGUGUGCAAGGGAGCAGAGCACGUGAGCUGAGUGUCCACCUGGCCGUGCCUACCUUCAGAGUCCUUCACUGGCUCCUCCGGAUCCCCUAGCCAGCACCACUUUGUACUUAAGGAAUUGCAGCGCAACUUCCUGAAACAGAGGUUCCAAUCAAUUUGCAGAGCAGCAGUUUUAAUGAGCAAAGAGUGUGAUAAUACUAUAGGCUUUGCAAGCUGUAUCUUUUAUUCAAUUUAAUUACCUUCCUCUGUGGAUUCCAAAUCAACCAGAGCUUCAGACAAAGGGGGAAUUUCAUCACAUUCUCAGAACGCUGCAUGGCAGGUAUGUGCCUAGACUGGAAUGUGUGAAAGUAGGCAGCAUCCAUCAAAAAUGACAUAACCAUGGUGAAGCUGUCAAGUGAAGGGUUCUAACAGUGACACCAGGCAAGACAAAAUACUCAAAUUCAUGAAUGCUAAUGCUUUGCCACUGCUCGGCAGAGACAUCACCGGACAGGACAGUUUACUCCUCCUUCAUCCCAGGCCGUCACUUUCCCGCCAAGUGCUGUCAUAAGGCCACACUGUGAGGGCAAAGAAUGUCAAAGGGAGGGGAGAGCAUCUUUAAGCUCUUCUCUCCAUCAAACCCCCAGAUCCAGUUCAGCAGCGUUCAUCAAAGGCCUGCCAUGUCAGGCACAGAGCUGCUGCAGGUGGCUUAGAGGUCUGAGGACGUGAUCUCUGCUUCCCAAAAGCUCAUAGACUCCCAACUAUAAUACAAAAAUGGUGAUAAAGGAGGCAUAAAGCUUAAUUGCAAGCACAGAGACAAAGGGGCUAAUUCCAGCUGGGUAGUGUGAGAGGUGAAAUUGAGUCUUAACUCUGAAGUAUCCCUAGGGAAUGGGAGUCUGAGAGCUGAAGGGCAUGCUCCAAACAAAAUCCAGCGGCCAGAGGCAAGGGCUUGUUCAGGAAGUGAUGCUGAUCGAUCUGCUAUAGGCUGGUGUGUACUAUGCUCCGGAACAAGCCUUGGGUGUCUUGAUGUCUAGCUAAGGAAUGUAGGAUGUGAUGGAGAGCUACUGAUGGGUUUUCAGUAAGAGUGGGACAAUCUGAUCUAUUUCAGAAAGGGAACUGGCUGCAGUUGUAGCAUGAAGUGUAAGUGAGGCAAUGCAAUCAACACAGGGCUCUUCAAAUCUUAAGAGGAUUUCCACCGAUUAGGGAACUGAUUUGUUAGGACAAUACAAUGUAACUCAAGCAGCAGUCAAUUUCAGACUAAGUGCUCUUUGGCUGUUGAGAGCUAACCACAGAAUCCUGGAUGUUUCACUUUAACCAAGUCAGGUGCACAGGGCUCUCCAUGUCAGCACUGCUUCUGCUAACCAGCUUUCACUCUUUGUGCUUGCAGUUUAGAUGAAAGGAAGUGAUUGUUUUAAAUUUUUCACACUAACUUUCAUACUAAUACCAUUCUCAGAAAAAAUCCUUCAUAGGGCAUCAAUAUGGCACAGGGCUAACACCUGAGACAGUCACAUCUGCAUUUUCCCAGUGAAAGUGGGGCCUUGGGUUAUUUCAUCUAGAGCAGAGAGCAGCUCAAGGAGUCCCCCAGAUCCAUUUGAUUGAUAUGGAAAGAAGUUUUUCUUUCUAAAGUCCAGAUCAGAUUAAUGUCAUAUCAAAUCAAUUCAACUCAAAGUAAGAUACCUGGUUUAAAAUGGAUUCACUAGAAGAGUACAAAUAGUACACUGUCCUUAGGAAAGGUUGACUGUCCCAUCUACUUAACAUUUACAAACUCGAAGCACAGUAUAUUCAAGUAGAUUUAUGGUACCACAUUAAUAGGAUGUUAAAAAUAAAAUAGCCAGGGCACACAAAGCCUUCUGUGACCUGCUAAUGCUUCUCAAAAUCACCUCAUGGCAGAUGCAAAGAAUUAUUUCCCCCAAGAAAAACAAGACCUUGACUCAAGGCAAUUUUCUGCCCAACCAGCACUUUUUUUUUUUUGGUGGUUGAAUUAAUGUUUGUCAGGCAUUACUGUGAAGUGCAUGAUUAUAUCUACAUAAUAUAUUGCUGUAAACUAGGUUUAUGAGUUCUCACAUAAAUUCUGGGCCACAUUAACAACUAAGUGACUUAAGAGUAAUUCAUGAUAAUUUUUUUAAAUUCAUAAGGUAUAUGUUGAAUGACUAUUUGAAAAGGGCUCAUUUUCUCACUGACCACUGGAGAUCUUUAAACUUUCAGGUAACACUUUUAAGUCUCAAGAGUGUUACUGCUUAAGUCUGGGGAUUUAAGCCAAGUCACAAAUUUCUGGAAAGCAGAGGUACAACUUUACAAAUUCACAUUGAGUUCUCAGUUACAUUCAUUUUACCAUUUAAUAUUAGGAAUAAAAUCAAAGUGCUGUGUGUCACUUCAGUCAGACCUUUGAUCUUAAGAGCAAAAGGAAACAGAGAAUCAUAGUUCACACAUAAUAAACAAAUCUCCAAAUUAUUAAAAAGGCAUUUUAUUAUAAAUACAUUUUAGUUGUAGCAGUAAAAUACAUUUUGUGUUACCAUGAAUCUUUUAAAACAAAAGAACUUCGCUGAGACAAUGACCACACUGUAGAACUGUAGACCAAGUUGAAAACUUGUUUUAUGGAACCAAAGUUGCUAACGUAAUUCCAAAACUAAGUUGGAAAAGAAAAGGACAAAGAAGAAAAUAAAAACCCCAGAGAGUGGCUUUGGGGUUAUUUUAUGGUACAAAUUCACUUUUACUUUUAAGGAUAAACUCUUUAGGUAUUAGAGCCUCUUAGAUGAGGUAUCAUUUACUGCAAAGAAAAAUAAUUGUUUCAAUUUUGCCAUAAAUUAUGCUUAUUUAGAUGGCUAUAUAACUGGUACUUUGAAAGAUAAAACUGACCACCUCAGUUUUGUUCAGCUUCCCUCAGGAAGACUUCCCAAAACAGACCCAGUAUGAAUUUGCUAACUAACUGAUCUUUGAAGUUAGCUGAACAGGUUUAGAUAAGAACUAUAUGUAUGAAGCAUUAAAAAAAAAUCCUGUGUCACUAAUAACAGGACCCUUUAAUAAAAUGCAAAACUCAUUAUCUUUGUAAUUUAGAAGUAUUUUAGUCACCAUAGUUACCUAGGAUACAACUACUACAUAUAGCCAGUACCUUCAUGGGGUUUAAAGAAUCAGGUCAUAUGACUGGCACAGAAAUCAGGUACAGUACAAUGUCAUAUACAUGGAUUUAUAGGAAGCAGGUAUGGUCUGGAUUUAUGAAAAUCCAGGACCCUUCCUCUGUAUAGGGGGAGGCUGAGAAACAUUUUCUCAACUGUAACUGACACGUUGGGACUUCAACCAGGACAAGGAGCCCUCUGACCUACUGAAAGAUAUAAAGAGGUCUUCACAUACAAGGUUAUCGUGCAAAGCAAAGUGUAAAUAAACCAAAGCUCCCCUAUAAGUUGGGACUGCAUAAAGGAAAUUGUGCGGAAAAUAGAAACAAUCCUCUCCAAAGGUUAGCGAGCCUUUUCAGUAAGAAAGACUGUGUCUUAAGAACUCCAAAGCUGUGCAUUCUAUGAUGGUCUUCACGUGUACUUUUAUACCUAAGUCAUUCUGUAUUCUAUUACCUUAAAAAUAGAUUUUUUCGUCUUCCUAGUAUCUCAGUAAAUUCAAUGCCAAACUAAAAACCAGAAGCAGAGCCCAAUACCCGCCACAAGAUGCAGUACAGAGUGAAUAUUAAAACAGCAACAACACACAAAUUAAAAUAUACCCAAAGGCCUGACAGGUUUAUAUUAUAGGCAGUUUCUUUCUCAAAAAUAACUUGCUCAUACAUGUGCACCUAUGACUUACGAAUAAUUCAUGCUGUGUAGGUGAUAGAUCCCCCUAGGCUGUUUUGCAAACACAUAUAGAUUUUUUUAAAGGUAGCAAAGUAAUCAGAGACAUUUAUUUUCUGCCAUAUGUAACACUUCAGGCUCUCUCUAACACCUGCUGGCACGGCAGAGGAUCCAAAAUAACUUUGUUAACCUGAGAAACACAUAAUUGGAAAAACAAAUCCUUUGCCCUCAUGACCCCUCCCCCGCCAAAAAAAAACAACCACAAAAAUAGAAACAUUAUCUGGGGAUUAUCUGUUGUUUUCGAUGCUCUGUGCCACUGCCAUCUUAGGGCAGGGGCUCCUGCACUUAGUGCCUCGAUCAAUGCAAGGUUGCAUUCUCGUGGCAUUCUGAUGGCUUCUUUCCAGGAUUCUCAUUUCCAUGCAUAUGGAUCAAGAUAGACUCUAACCACACCAAACAAAUGCACAGCUUCCAGACCGAAGCCAGGGCAGCAGCGUACACAAAACCAAACUCACCCUAGAAACCAAAGAGCUCCUUCACCUUACUGUGGAAGAGCAGCAGAGACCCCAGCAGGGGUGAGAAUGAGGAGGGGUGGCAGCCAAACCAAAGGUCCUGUUGCUCCAUGGAGACCUUUCUCCAUGACUGUUCCACUCAUGGCACCAGAUUUAUAACAAUGUCUCCAGAGAUCAGUUUUUUACACUGAGAAAAUCAAUGCAUGGUUGAAAAGAUGUUCGGACUCUGAAGGUCUCUGAGACUUUCACUGUGAGAAUCAGACCAGUGAUUUUCAAAAUGUGGUGCCUGGGCUGGCAGCAUCAGCACCGUCUGGAAACUUGUUGGAGAUGUAGAUUAUCAGGCUCCAGCCCAAAAUCAGAAAUGCUGGGGGUAGGUCCAGCUAUCUGAAUUUUAACAAGACCUCGAGGCAAUUCUGAUACUGGCUGAAGUUUGAGAACCACUGCUCCAUCCUGUUCACAAUUCUAAAAUCUUAAAACAGGACAGAUUUGUAAAUAGAUAAUACUAUGUGACUUCUACUCUGUAUUGCGACCUAUGUAAUUUGCCACCCUUUCCCCUUUACUUCUCAAACAUUAAAAAAGUAUUAAUGAAAACACUUACUUCAUAACAUCAAAAAUUCCUUAAAAGGUAAUAAUGAUUUCCCCUCCUCUACAUAGUUCUAAGGCAGGCAAUCACAUGCUAGUAUGCAAAGUAAAAUACAGAAGAGACCUCAUAUAUGAGGUAGAAACAGUUAAAAAGACUCCCCACGAACAUAAUGAAAAUGUAUUGUUUAAUGAACUCAUAGAAUUAUAUAAAACUUACUAUGCUUUAUGCUUAAUAUCUGUAUCAAAAUAAAAUCUCUCUGUUGAACAAAUUGCAAAUAAAGUCUGGUCUAAUACUUUGAUUACUGAAACUAUAUGAAUGUCUCUGGGUUUUCUUAACACUCCAGUUUUAGACGCUUUAGACUACCACGCAGAACUGGGUUUGGGAUUUCACCACAGUUUACAUUUCUAAGUCUAGAUUCUUCUAUUAGGUAUCUCCCUCCAAAAAACUUUUAGAAACUCUGGUGACUCUUUCCUUAAAGUCCACUCCAAAGUAGACACUAUCAAUUAGUUCAAAAUAUUAAAUGUUACAUUAAAAUUGUUUUUAAAUCUCUUGAAUCUCAGAGUCUAAAGUAAUAGCAGAAUGUGUUUAGUGAGAUUCACUCCUUGCAACAAUGGUCUUGCCAUUACUAAUGAAACAGGUAUGAAAGCAGCAAGGGUGAAUUCAGCAGCUUUAAAGUCUCAGCCAAUAAAUGUCCAGCCUCAAGCAGAUGGGAAAUGCGAGGCGCGUAUCAUAAUGAGCACUUUCAACACUAACAUGCCACUUACUCUUUCAAGAUGGUAUCUUUAUAAGUGAUUAACACCACUAUGUGAUACUUUGAACAAGAAUUCAUAGUUAGAAUAUUACCUAUUCUAAUUUCUAGACGGUUUGAAUGUAGAUCAGAUGGCAAAGAGCAGAGACAGAUCCAUUAGGACAUUUACCUUGUGAUUCAGGAAAAUAUAUAGCGUGGCAGUAGAAAUUAAGGAUUUUCAAUAUGUUAAGGGGAUGGUGAGCAAGAAAUAAUGUCUAGUAAAUCAUAAAUUACUACCAUUGAGGAGCUGGAGGGAAAACGAUGGCUAGCCUACAUAACAUUGAAAGCACCAAUUUGUAUCCUUCAAUACAUUUAAAGUUUUAAUCUUGUAUUUUUAUAGAUUGUUUCUGGGAUUCCCUUUUUACAAACAAUUCCACUAUAAAACAAUGCUACAGUAGGUGUCUGUUUUCAAAUGAUAUUUCAGUAAGUCUAGUUUUCUUAAUAACAAUGAUUAAAAUACUAAAAUUUAUCUUCAAAUUGUUCUUCACACUCUGACUCUUAACCAAGGUGGCUCACUGUAGCUAAGGGGGCUAGGGAUAUAUCUAUUAUGUCUGCAGCUUUGCUCGAGAUGAAAAAUAUUAAACACAUAAAAUCAACUACACGAGAGCAACACAAUACUAUAUAUUAAUUAUCCCAAACUUAGGAAAUUCAGUUAGCUUUCUCAGCAACUCCAAUGCUUCCUUAAAAAGGAGAGUAUUUUCACAAAUAGGUCUUGGAAAUUGCUAUGUUUAAUUAGGUAAUGCUUAUUCAGUGAGAAUUCUGCUUAUUUUACUUAUUCUGCAGUUCUCUGAACUGAAAAGACCAGUUGAUGUUUACAUCCAACCUAAACUUACUCUAAAAACGGAUGAUUAAAAAAAAAUCUACACAAAGCAGUUUGUUAUUUCACGUGUAAAAAAAAAAAUGACCUGGAUAGAAAGCCUAUCUGUGUGAGGAAAGAAAAAUUAAGGUGAUGUUAGUUUAAAUGGUCAAUAAUUAACUACCGAUUAAUCAAAAACAAAGUUCUGCUGUAACAAUUUGGCAAAACAUACGCCCAAAUGACAACCAAAAUCCCCUUUAAAAACACACCAGAAAAUAUCCAUGCUACAUGGAUUGGGGUUCUUCAAAUCAUAACAAAAUAUUUUUAGAUCAUGAAAAGAAAUUUUUCAGCAUCAAUGCUCUACUUUACAAACUCUAUCAUCCAAAAUAAUGUCUUUAAGUUUAAAAAAAAAAAAAAAGGAAAAUCUCAGGUAGCACUAAAAUUAAAAAAUGAAACAAAACA